GAGAUCCCUGCAGAGUCCAAUCAGGGGCAAGGGAUAGAAGAACGGUGAAGAGAUGAAAGAAUUGCGACGACGAUCCUAGAGGGUAAUCAAGAAGACUCUUCAAAGUCUGAAGAUUGGAGAGUUUGCCCGGAUAUGAGGAGGCCAUUCGUCUCAAAGCAAGGAAGAGACGAGAAUAUUAGGUUAAGAAUCAGAAAAGACC
rnacentral:lncRNA from 1 species